UGGGGAAUAUUGGACAAUGGGCGCAAGCCUGAUCCAGCCAUGCCGCGUGUGUGAAGAAGACCUUCGGGUUGUAAAGCACUUUUGUCCGGAAAGAAAUCCUGUCGGCUAAUACCCGGCGGGGAUGACGGUACCGGAAGAAUAAGCACCGGCUAACUUCGUGCCAGCAGCCGCGGUAAUACGAAGGGUGCAAGCGUUACUCGGAAUUACUGGGCGUAAAGCGUGCGUAGGUGGUUUGUUAAGUCUGAUGUGAAAGCCCUGGGCUCAACCUGGGAACUGCAUUGGAUACUGGCUUACUAGAGUGCGGUAGAGGGUGGCGGAAUUCCCGGUGUAGCAGUGAAAUGCGUAGACAUCGGGAGGAACAUCCGUGGCGAAGGCGGCCACCUGGACCAGCACUGACACUGAGGCACGAAAAGCGUGGGGAGCAAAACAGGAUUAGAUACCCUGGUAGUCCACGCCCUAAAACGAUGCGAACUGGAUGUUGGGAGCAACUAGGCUCUCAGUAUCGAAGCUAACGCGUUAAGUUCGCCGCCUGGGAAGUACGGUCGCAAGACUGAAACUUAAAGGAAUUGACGGGGUCAUAGCUGUUUCC
rnacentral:rRNA from 1 species